GGAGGGAUGCCCGAGCGGCCAAAGGGAGCAGACUGUAAAUCUGCCGGCGUACGCCUUCGAAGGUUCGAAUCCUUCUCCCUCCACCA
rnacentral:tRNA from 1 species